CCUACGGGGGGCUGCAGUGGGGAAUAUUGGACAAUGGGGGCAACCCUGAUCCAGCCAUGCCGCGUGUGUGAAGAAGGCCCUCGGGUUGUAAAGCACUUUCAGUGAGGAAGAACGCCUGGUGGUUAAUACCCAUCAGGAAAGACAUCACUCACAGAAGAAGCACCGGCUAACUCCGUGCCAGCAGCCGCGGUAAUACGGAGGGUGCGAGCGUUAAUCGGAAUUACUGGGCGUAAAGCGCGCGUAGGUGGCUUGAUAAGCCGGUUGUGAAAGCCCCGGGCUCAACCUGGGAACGGCAUCCGGAACUGUCAAGCUAGAGUGCAGGAGAGGAAGGUAGAAUUCACGGUGUAGCGGUGAAAUGCGUAGAGAUCGGGAGGAAUACCAGUGGCGAAGGCGGCCUUCUGGACUGACACUGACACUGAGGUGCGAAAGCGUGGGUAGCAAACAGGAUUAGAUACCCUAGUAGUC
rnacentral:rRNA from 1 species